CAGAAAAUAGUUUAAAUAAAAUAUUAGAUUUGGAGUCUAAAGAUUUCUAAUUUUCUGA
rnacentral:tRNA from 1 species